UUCAUUUCUUUUUGUUGUGUUUGUUGUCAAAUACUUUGUAAAUGUCAAGAAUUUCCAUGUCGCCAGAUCAAGACUGACUUGGCUGAUUCUUUUCGGCCAAGUUUUGAUUUCGUACUUUGAAUUGUCAAAUUCAAAUGCUUCUAGUUGAAAAUUUGUAUUCUGUAGCUUAAACCACUUGUCAUUGCUUGAAGCAGGGGUUACUCAAUGGCUGGAUUUCGUUCUAGAUUCAUGCCCAUCAAUGUGUUUAGUA